CCUACGGGAGGCAGCAGUGAGGAAUAUUGGUCAAUGGACGCAAGUCUGAACCAGCCAUGCCGCGUGCAGGAUGACGGCCCUAUGGGUUGUAAACUUCUUUUGUACGGGGGUAAACUCAGACACGUGUGUCUUCUUGCAUGUACUUUAUGAAUAAGGAUCGGCUAACUCCGUGCCAGCAGCCGCGGUAAUACGGAGGAUCCGAGCGUUAUCCGGAUUUAUUGGGUUUAAAGGGAGCGUAGAUGGGUUGUUAAGUCAGUUGUGAAAGUUUGGGGCGCAACAGUAAAAUUGCAAUUGAUACUGGAAGUCUUGAGUACAGUUGAGGUAGGCGGAAUGCGUGGUGUAGCGGUGAAAUGCUUAGAUAUCACGAAGAACCCCGAUUGCGAAGGCAGCUUACUAAACUGUGACUGACAUUGAGGCUCGAAAGUGGGGGUAUCAAACAGGAUUAGAGACCCCAGUAGUC
rnacentral:rRNA from 1 species